CAGUAAUUGAGUCUUGUGCCCUAAGUGUUCUCAAAGAGCAAUAGACUUAAUGAACAUCAGCUUUACUGACCAAGACAGAAAAGAUCUCUAUCAGGUCUUCACUUAUAUUUUUCUAGAUAGAGGAGAAAACUUGCAAAUUUGAAGAUGCUUAAGUUUUUUGCACACUGUGAUAGUGUCCUUUGCCUUACAGAAAGAUGAGAUCUUUUACCUCCAUUCUUCUUCACCUCAGUCUGACUACCAUUGCUGGCAAUAGGAUAUCAUCCCUGGUCCUCAGCAUAUCAACCAAGAUUAACUGAAUUGCUUGUUGUCAAUCUUGGAGCCAUUGAGGCAACCAUGCAAUGAGAAAAAGGGGCAAGAAUAUCAACAUUUGCUGGCCAUCUACACUGUCACUCAUUCUUCAAAACAUUAGAUCUUUUGUGAAAGAGGUGUGAAAGUAUAUCCUUGAAUAUAAUAUGUUUAUCAAAAUGUAAGUAGAUUUGAGUCCAAUGCUUGUGACUUCUAUUUUGUUACAUUGUGCUGACAAUAACAAGAAACAUUUCAAAAAGUCACACAUACUACCCUGCUAAGAUUUAAGAGAAACAUUUCAAAGUAAUACAUAUGUUAUGGUAUGUCCUUUCUGUACAAUUAUUCAUCUUUCAUAAUUUUAAUGGAUGUUCUCAAACAAAAUAACAUUUCCUAAGUGCCUACAAUGUGCAAAUUUUGUAUUUAGAAAUGCAUGAUUCAUGUAUGGGGUUUUAUAUUAAACUUUUCUUAAUAUGAGAAGAAAAUCAAGUGUGUUCGAAGUUUUGAGAACUAUAAUGAUACCAAAAUCAGUCUGCUGGAAAUUAAGAUCAUAAAAGUCACAAAGCCUAACCACACCUCUCUUUUUUUUAUCAGUUGUGGAACUUUCAUAAAGAGCUCUUGUAUAUUUUGUUACAUGUGCACAUGUAUCAUUUUGGGUUGGUAUAAAUUCAAUGUGUUUUUAAUUUUGAAUAACAUUUGUUCACUCCUGGUAUAUAAGAAAGAAUAAUGAACUGGGAAGGGUAGUACCUACUUGUAAUCCUAGCACUCAGGAAUCUGAGGAAGGAGAAUUAGCAUGAGCUACAUUGUGAGUCCAAAGCUAGUCUGAGAUACACAAGGCAAUCUUAAAAAAAAUAGUAAAAAGGGCUUCUAGCUGCCAUCUUGUGUCCCUACACGUGUGUGCCUUAUUUCAGCUAGUCUGCCCAAGACCCUCUGAGCUUGAACCCUACUCCCCUGCACAGCCCUACUUCUACUCUGAAAAGAUGUAAGAAACCAUCAUGAGCCAGGAAAAACUACAGGCACAAGUGUGAAUUGUUGGGAAAGGAACCUCUCAUAGAAAGAUGAAUGUACUUCGUGGAACACCUAUAGCAGAGGAUAAAAACUGCAGCUCUCCUUAUAGAGGUUAGGGGUAAACAACUUGAAGAGGUGAAGAUGUUUGCAAACCAAUGAAAAGUGAACCAUUUUAAUAACCCUCAAGUACAGAAGUUUCUGGCAACAAACACCUUCACCAUUACAAGCCAUGCUAAGACAAAGUAGCUGACAGAAAUGCUUUCCAGUAUCCUAAGCCAGCUUGGUACAGUCUGUCUAGUUUAAGGAGAUUCGAUGAUGCUCUGCCCAAACAAUCUGUGGAUGGGAAAGCACACUUGCUCCUGAAGGUGAGGAUGAUGAAGUUCCAGAUCUGGUGGAGAAUUUUGAUGAAGCUUCUAAGAAUGAGGCAGACUUCAUGGAGGUAACUUCUGAAAAAGGUGACACUUGCAGAAGUUACAGGAUCUGCUGUUUUACAUCAUGACUGCUUUUUAAAUAUCUUUUGCUUAUGGAUCUGAUAAAAUCUAGAUCUCUGAUAUUUUCAGUUCCCCUGGAUACUAUCGCUCUUACCUAAUUCAUUCUUGGCAACAAAUUAAGCUGAUGACACCUGGGAAUAAAGUUUGGGAAAGGUUAAUAAAAUUAUUUGCCUAGUUAAAAGAAUUAGUAAAAGGAAAACUGAACUUCAGUAUAUUGCCUUUUAUAUAUCGUGGAGUAAUUUCUUACUAGUUCUAUGAGGGUUUCUUUAGCAGUUUCUUAAGUUUUCUGCACUAUUACGUACCUGUACUAUUACGUUUGUGUUUUUCUUCCCAAUCGGUACGUGUUUUAUUUCUUUCUCUUGUCAUAUUCCAUUAGCUAAAAAUUCCCAAAUGGCAUUGAAUAAUAGUGUUUAAAAACCCUUUAUGCCUGUUUCUAGUAUUAAUGGUAUUGCAGUUAGUCUCUGGUCACUAAAUAUGACCCUUUCUUAAGUUUGUCAGAACAAUUGUUUAUCCAAUGAAGACAUUUACUUACUCUGUUCCGUUUGUUGAGUUUUUAUUGAUAACAUAUGAAUAAGAGUUGAAUUUUAUCUAAUGCUUUUAUUAAUGCUAACACCGUGUGACUUUUUCUUCUUUCCCUUGUUGAUGUGACAGUUUACAAUCAUUGUUCUUCUAAUUGAAAGUACCUUUACAUUGCUGAAAUUAAAUACUACUUCGUCAUGAUGCAUCAAUCUGCUUCAGUCUUGUACUUAAAUUUUUCAUUAUUUUAUGGAAGAUUUUGCACAAAAUUUAAUGAGAG
ensembl:lncRNA